GCCUGGGUGGCUCAGUCAGUUAAGCGUCUGACUUCGGCUCAGGCCAUGAUCUGGCGGUUCGUGGGUUCAAGCCCCUCCUGGGGCU
rnacentral:tRNA from 1 species